rnacentral:lncRNA from 1 species
CAGCGAAGCGCUUCUGCCCGAGGUCUACAGCGAAGCGCUUCUGCCCGAGGUCUACAGCGAAGCGCUUCUGCCCGAGGUCUACAGCGAAGCGCUUCUGCCCGAGGUCUACAGCGAAGCGCUUCUGCCCGAGGUCUACAGCGAAGCGCUUCUGCCCGAGGUCUACAGCGAAGCGCUUCAGCCCAAGGUAUUCAGCGGGUUAGGUGGGGGACUAAGGCCAGAGCCUGAGCCACCUCCACAGCAGGAGUAUUGGGGAGGGGGGGUGUAGCACGGGAACCGUCGGUGACGGUAGCCACCCUCCCUUCCCUGACAUUAGUUUGGGGGGUUUAUUUUUGUGUUUAAUUUUUGUGUGAGGUGCAUCCGGGGUCUGCACCUUUGGGAGGGGGGUACUGUCACGUCCUGACCAGUAAAGGGGUUAUUUGUUAUUGUAGUUUGGUCAGGACAUGGCAGGGGGGUGUUUGUUUUAUGUGGUUCGGGGUUUAUUAGGAUAUGUGUUUUAUGUAGAGGGGUGUUUGUUUAGAGUAUUCUGGAGUUUCUAGUUAUGUCUAUGU